rnacentral:lncRNA from 1 species
CAAAAUUUAAGUUGAAGAUUUUAGAGUACUUUAAUAUUUCUAGAGUGUUUGAGGGGAGUUCAUUAGUUAUAAAAAUAAAAAUCUAAAUCUCACUGUUUUAGAUGAGAUUCUAAAGUGUUUUAACAAAAAUCACACCAAAUUCUCUAAUUCUCCUGCAAUCAUCUACAAACUCAUUAAAAAUCAAAUUACUUCAGUGGCAUGGAUUUAUAAAUAAAUGGUAGCUUUUAAGGUGAAUUCUUAUUUGUACUUCUUUUUUAAUAAAAUAGACGUAAACCAGUGUCUAUUUCAAAAAAAAUCUGGAUAUUUUAAUUUAAAUUAUAAAUCAACUACAUGUAUUCUAGAUCUCUUUAUGGAUAUGUAAAAGGAUAUAAUAGGUCUCAAAUGUUUAAAUUUAUGCCCACGCAUAAUAAUAAAUAUCAUUAGCUACUAGUCAGAUAAUCAACCUUUUCUGAAUUUGGAGGUGUUAAGGGGUUUAUGUUUUCUCAAUAUGUAGGGGCUGAAAACAUGUAAACACACGUGAUCUGGUUUUGUUAGGAUAUCAUCCAGGUAUAUUACCUAAUGAGAAUCUUUUCGAUUUUAUUAUCGUCUGAUUUAUUUUUCUAACUAAGAGCUUUAGCUUUAAUACAAAUUAAUAUGUGACCUUUAAAAUAUCAAAGGAAAAAAAAUAUGACCUUUGAUAUUUCUGCAUGAGAUGGUUAUGACAUAAUUGAAUAAUACUUGAAUUUAUGCCAAGUUACAAAAAAAAAAUAAUAAUACUUGAAUUCACAGAUUUGAUUAGUAUCUACGUAGGUGACGCGCGCGACACUGACUUUGCCGUCAAUCAUACGGCAGAAGUUUAUCUAAUUCAUGAAUACAAACAUAUUCAUUUCCCCAAAAACAAUUAUUACCCUUUAGUAUAUAGUGAUGCAUUUCAGCAUCUAAACCAUGUUCAUUAAUAGCGAAUGCAACUUUUUGUUAAAAGCGAAUGCGACUUAUAUUAAUUAGUGAAUAGCUAGAAAGUCUACUUAUUUGAUUGAAUAUAUGUAAAAAUUAGGGAAGUAACAUGUGCAUAGAGUAUGGGAAUCUCUGCAAGUCACAAAGAAUUUAGUUAGCAGCAUGUAAAAUUUAAGGUGAUGCAUAAUGUAGUCCAUGUGGAAAGGAGAAGAAUCCAUAAAUUAUGUCAUAAUUGAAUGUCACCCAACGGUUCAAACGUGGAUAUUUUUGAAAAUAAUGAAUUCAGCUAUUUUCGUAAUUAACAUAGUAUAUUUUUAAAAAGAAAAAAUGAUAAGAUUUAUAAGAAUAAAGAUAAACCAACAUAAAAGAUUAUGCGUAUAACAUAAAAAGAGAGAAGUUUGUGAACAAAAUAUAACUUCACGACUCAAGUUUUGGAAAUAAAUUUUGCUAAUCAAGUUAGCCAACAAAUGAGCGAUGUGAGAUGGUAUUAUGUGCAUAGAGUAUAAAAAUAAUAUGAUACUUUUACAAUCUAAUAAUGGUUAUGCGGUACCGAAUGUAAAAUGAAAAUAUUAUGAGGGUAAAAAAUACCCAGCAAAAUCUCUCAUAUGUAUAUGGAGAAUGUAAAAUUUUGAUUGGAUUAUGGAAUACAUGAAAAAUUUAUAAUAUUUGAAAAUAGUUUUCAUAGCCAGAUUAUUCUUAAUCAGUGAAGAUGAUUUUUUCACCGACAAAAUUGCCUCCUUUCAUUUUUCACAUGGAGGAAUUUCAUGUUAGUUAAAACAUGAUGUUUUUUUUUGUUAAAACGUCCCAGCAAGAACUUGGGUAGUCAUGGCCACCAAAGUUUGAGCAACAAGAUUUUUUUCUUUAAUUAAUGAUAAAAUUAUAUUUUUUUUUAUCUUCUUGUGCUUCCAUUUUCUAAUUCUAAUUUGCAGCUUCUAGUGUUUCAGACUAAAUUCAUCGUUUUGAAGCAUGUUUUUUUGCUAUUUACACAUAAACUUCAAGAUUUAAUAUUUUAUCAGCAGUUAUAAAUUUGAAAAGCAAAAAAUUUCUCUAUUGUUCAUGUUCUUACACAAAGAUUUCGGUUUGAUAAGUUAUCUGAUCGGUUUCAGGUAAAAGCCAAACUAAUAUAUGCGGUUCUUGACAUUAAGAAAUAAUAGGUACUAAAUAGUCUAUAACCGAAAUCGAUUCGAGCUGGUCCAUGUUGGAUCAGUUUGGGUUUGGAUAAUAAAUUUCAAUUUUAAAUUACAGCCUUAACUUCAAUUAUGUAUGUGAUUCAAUGUCACCAUUAAAGUUAGGAUAACUAUGAUAAAGCUUAGAUUUAAUUUUGAUUCGUGCUCUAAACUGUUAGUAGUACUUAAUUUCUAACUUUUUCUCUUUUACUAGAUAGUGUUUCAGACGAUAAUAUACCACAUGUGAAAGAGAAGAAAUGAGCGUCAACAUAGGGAAUCUUGUCAUCUGACGACCUAUAUUGUUAAACUAGUCGAUAAAAUAAUACAAAGAUGGUAUUUUCUGUGGUCUCGCUAAGAGGCUAGGAACUCUUCAAUUUAAAUGGUUCCAAGCAAAAGCGGCUGGUAAGGAACAAGGGUGAGGUUCUCUAAAUUUUCGAUUUCCAUAUUUUAUUAUUUGUUCUUAUAUUGAUCAAUAAAUUUAACUUUAAAAUAACAAAAAAUGAUUUUCAUUUUUUCUUGAGUUUUAUGCCAAAUUUAUUUUGUAACUCUUUUUUAUUCGAAUCUUAGCGAUAAAUGGCUGAAGUAUUUGUCAUCUCUUUCUUCGGUGACUUCUUUCAUUUAUUUCCUUCAUUUUCGAUGAUGUUCGAAUAUAUAGAAAAUUUGGAUCAUCUCAAAAUAAUAAUCAUUAACGUAUAGGACACUUGUCAACGACGAUGUUGAAUUGAUGCAUGUGAUUUUUGAUGAUUUACAUGUGCUAUAAGUAAAUCAUAUGGCUAUUGAUUUCCACUUCACAAAAAGUGGGAAAUAGAAAGAAUAUAGGGGGAAAAUAUGUUAAUGCUGUAAACUCCUAAUGCUUUGAAGAGUAUGGAAGCGGAUUUGCUUGGAAAAAAAAAGAGUAUCGAAAGCGACCAAGAGCAAUAGAGCAUGCGAGCGAGACAAAAGUAAAAUGUUUUUGUCCAUUAAAAGUAAAUGAUGUUUCACCACAACGUCCAGGUGCAUACCCCUCUCGAACAUAUACAUUCAUGCAGUGAAUGUCCAAGUGACAACAUAAUUCAUCCACAUUCAGUUAGAAUUUUACUAAUGUAAUAAUCAUCAUCAUGAUAUUUAAACACAAAUAGUUUUGUAGAACAAUUAAUUGUGUUUGAACGUUUCCUACGACAUUAAUAUUUUUUGCCAAAAGUCUUUUUUUUGGUACGCAUGUUAAAUAUUUUGCCAAAAGUCAUUUUUGUACGCAUGUUAAAUUUUUAUUUAUUUUUUUUCUGUCAAAAGUUUCUUAGGAAAUUUUGAUUAAAGAUAUAUGAGGUGGAGAAAGAUCACAGACUAAUAUCAAUAUCUCUGUAUCUUACUCCAUAAGCGAGCAAUGAACAAAAAAAAAAUUGAUUAUUCUAUUUAUAGAAUAAACUCCAUUAUAAAAUGAUAUAUGAAGUUGGGUCGAAACAUUUUUUACUCCAUACUCCAUUUCACUCCAUUUUAAAGUAAAAAUAAAGUGAGAUUAGAAAUUCCCUAAAAAAAUACUUCAGUUUUAAUAAAAUAAACUAGAGUUUGAUCCGCGCUAUCGUGCAUGUAUUUAUUUUUACUUAUAAUUUUUUUAUACUAAAUGCAUAAUACCUAUUUAUAAAUUUAAAUGUAUUAUAUAGUUUUCAGUAUAAGAGUUUAAAACAUAACAAAUUUACACAAAAAUAUUAAAUAACUAUAUUUUAUGUUUUAACCUUUUAUUGUAUCGCCGACAAUGGGUAUAAUAUAAAAAAUCAAUGCAUGAUAAAUCAGUUAAAUUCUUUAACGAACAAAUGGAUGGGUGUAUUGUAUUGAUGAUGUUGUUUAUUAAUUCUGUAAUGGUAAAGCUUGAUCCUUGUAUCCACUGUUAUUUUGAAGUUGAUGUUUGGUUUAGUAAAAAAAAUAUCUUUGCAUAAUAUUAGUAAUCUUAUAAAUCAUGGUUUUAUUUGUUAAGAUUUUGUUUAUUAAUGGAAAAAUAUCUUAGCAUAAUCUUAGUAAUUCCAUUAAGUGAUAUUGUUUGGCGAGUCCAAAAACAUACAUAUCAUUUUUACAUAUAUUUUCUUAUAAGUUUUAAACACUUUCCCAUGAAUACAAAUUUAAUGAUUGUUCAUUGAUGGAGGCUUGUUUGCUAACACGAUUUUUAUGGUAAUUAAUAUUUAUAAUGUAUAUUCUAUGUUUAUUUAUUAAGGUUAAUUAAUGUUAAGAGUGAAAAGAAGAAUGAUAUGAGAAUUUAACUGAACUUGCUGUACAUUAAUUUAGAAAAUUAAUUAUUAAAUUAGGAAAAUACAUUAGAUACUUAAAGUUAAGUUUAUUAGGAGGGUGUAUUCAACUAAGAGUUUCAAGUGAUUUGCAUUAAAAUGACAAAUCCACUGUUAUUCAAACAUGGAUUUUAAAAAACACUUUAAAAUCCAGUGUUAUUGAACUUGUCGUUUCAUAAAACACUCUGAAAUCCACUGUUAUUGAACAAAAUUUAAGUUGAAGAUUUUAGAGUACUUUAAUAUUUCUAGAGUGUUUGAGGGGAGUUCAUUAGUUAUAAAAAUAAAAAUCUAAAUCUCACUGUUUUAGAUGAGAUUCUAAAGUGUUUUAACAAAAAUCACACCAAAUUCUCUAAUUCUCCUGCAAUCAUCUACAAACUCAUUAAAAAUCAAAUUACUUCAGUGGCAUGGAUUUAUAAAUAAAUGGUAGCUUUUAAGGUGAAUUCUUAUUUGUACUUCUUUUUUAAUAAAAUAGACGUAAACCAGUGUCUAUUUCAAAAAAAAUCUGGAUAUUUUAAUUUAAAUUAUAAAUC